AUGGUCUGGCGCUUUCCAUACAGUACACUGGCAAGCCGGGUGCCCUGGAAGAUCAACACGCAAGCGACUCACAACUAGGUCACUCACGGCCAUGUUGUAUGGUGUCGCAAUGACUUCCUUGAAGGGUGGAUGUAUUAUUGUACCUAUAUUCGCUAUCUCCAACGCGCAAGAAGUGUGUUACGUGAAAAAUUCUGAUGGGACUUACAGAAAGAAAUACUGUGAAUUCAACUGUUGUGGUUUGUCAUCUACAUACUGCUGCAGCGAGCCAGGCACAGCAAAUACUGGACUUAUUGUUGGACUCGUGGUGGGGAUUUUAGUUCUGAUUGCUGUGGUCGUGGGUGUCAUAUUAUAUUGCCUCUACCGUCGUCGUAAAUCACGAAGACAGGGUCAACCAGUAUCCACAAACAGCCAAGAAGAUGUUAACUCAACAGUUUCAGCCGAUGCACCCUAUCCUGACAAAGACUACCCAGCUGAGCCGCCACCCGAUCCGUAUUACCUCCCACCCGUAGAGAUGAAACGUCUUCCUUCUCUUCCUCGCCAGUCUCGUUCAUCUACACAUUCAGUCCCUUCCUCGCCUACUGCAACAACAGCAUCUGCCACAGUUACGGAUAUAUGAUAAACUUUGUUUGGUUGUUAUAUAUAUGUGUCACCAAACAAGUGAUUGUCAAUAACUUAUACUAUAUACAUGUGUGCAUGGGCGAUGUACAGACUUUAGCUUUUCGUGACGGAUAAAUGGUCGAUAUGACACAAAACGUUAACACUCUCAGUACAUGCUUUGCAUGUAGAGCAGGUAUAAGUAUUUUCUUAUUAAAGUGUGUUGGAACAUAACAACCGUUAGCAAGUAGAUAUAUGAUGCAAGUAAGUAUAUCAAGUUUUUAACAAAACAUGUUUUCGCGGGAUAUGUAAAAUGCAGUAACAUGAUGUAAAGUAGAACAAACAGACUUGUAAAUCAUGUAUGAUAGUAACAAAUGUUAUAUUUGGGAUAACACUAUCUUAGUCAAGUACAGAUUCGAGUACCUUUUUAGGUUGAGUCCCAUCCGAGAUUCGAACCCACACUGCAAGAGUGAGGCACAUAAUCGCCAGCACACGAUAAAUGGCAUUGUGUUUUCAUGUAGGAUAAUAUCAUUUAUUUAUAAAAAAAGUAAAAACCAAAUAUGUUAGUUUUCAACAAAAUCAAUAACAAAGGCAUAUGUGCAGGAAUCACAUGAAUCCAUAGAUAGUUCUUGUAGAAAUGUUUGACAAGCUUCAUAUUGUUCGUCUGAAUGUAUAAUUUUAUACAAUUACAUCAUUAUUUCGUAAGUAAAAUCCAAUGAUCUCCAGAUAUCUCCGAAGGAGGUACAUGCACAUGAACACUAGACUAUCCAUUGUUUGUUAUCAUCCAUGUUAUACAUCAUUUUCAUCUAUGUACUGCAUCUUUUGCAUUUUCAUAAAAUACAAAAUUAGUAAAUAUUACACAAUUUCCACUAGACUAUCUACCAUCGUUACAAGCUAUAAUGAUGACGAUGCAACUUAAAGUAGAUUAGACGUGAGAUAUCACAUAUGUAGUUUUGUACCGAGGUAUAUUCAUUUAAUGAACAAAAUAUUUAAACAUAUCCGUCUAAUUACGUAGUCUAUGAAUUUGUUACGACUUACCAUUUUGUUUGUUACGUCCUGCGUUUGGUUCAUACAUUGAUGUAGUCAUACCUUCUAAAGGAUGUUGUCAAUGUACGAAUGACAAACUUUAAGAAUAGCGUUGUGACAGUUCUUUUUACCCCCUAAAUGGGAUAGGCAAAAACGGCUAUGCGUGAAAAUACACCACCAUUGUCAACGGCAUCAAAUUGGUUAAACGGCUCGAGGUAUUGUUGGCGAAAACGUGACCAUAUAUUAUUCGGCAUAUAUAGGGAACGCAUCCACUUUUUACCAUGCAUCAUACAUCUAUUUAUCAUAAACAUUAUUUGGCAGUCUGACAACAUUCAAUCCAAUUCACGCCGAAGACCCGGGUUCGAUUCCCGACAUGGGUACAAUGUGUGAAGCCCAUUUCUGGUGUACCCCGCCGUGAUAUUGCUGGAAUAUUGCUAAAAGCGGCGUAAAACCAAACUCACUCACUCACUCACUCACUCUGAAUAUAACAUAAUGUUAACAACAUUCAAACCAUAUGAUAUUGUUCAACAUAGACACCAUUCUUCAUUUGUAGCAUAAUGCUAACAAAUGCUACAGUUGAAAACAUUCUGGGUGGCCUCUGAACAAUCCUGAACUUAACAUCAAAUAAGCACUGUCGUUUUCCAUGGUGCCGCUGUGACCAUAAUCCUCUGAAUGUGCUUCGAUCUUAGCUUGCAAUGAUAUAUGGUAUUCUAUUACAAGACCCCGUAAUGAUAAUUGACACAUUAUGAAUGAUUGUUCCGUUACUGUAUAUUUGUCCAUUUUUAUUUGCAACAACAUAUGAAAUAUGUUAUAUGACAUUGUUAUUAUUGAUGAUGUGUUUCAUAUUAUUGAUACUUUUCACGCAGCAAAUUGCAGGCAACAGUUGCGAGUGUAUAAAAUGUUUCAAAGUAAAAUAUCUAUCCAAA
rnacentral:lncRNA from 1 species